CCCGCCUUAACUCAGACUGGUAGAGUGCGCGGCUGUAGACUGAUUUGCCGUUUGAGGCAAGAGCGCAGCUACCGCGAUGUCCCCGGUUCAAAUCCGGGAGGCGGGA
rnacentral:tRNA from 1 species